UACGUAGGGUGCAAGCGUUAAUCGGAAUUACUGGGCGUAAAGAGCGCGCAGGCGGUCGGAUCAGUCGAAUGUGAAAGCCCCCGGCUCAACUGGGGAGGGUCAUUCGAUACUGUUCGACUUGAAGGCAGGAGAGGAAAGCGGAAUUCCCGGUGUAGUGGUGAAAUGCGUAGAUAUCGGGAGGAACACCAGUGGCGAAGGCGGCUUUCUGGCCUGUUCUUGACGCUGAGGCGCGAAAGCUAGGGGAGCGAACGGG
rnacentral:rRNA from 1 species